rnacentral:rRNA from 1 species
UACAGAGGGUGCAAGCGUUAAUCGGAAUUACUGGGCGUAAAGCGUGCGUAGACGGUAGCGUAAGUCGGGUGUGGAAGCCCCGGGCUCAACCUGGGAAUUGCAUUCGAGACUGCUCUGCUAGGGUGCGGAAGAGGGAAGCGGAAUUUCCGGUGUAGCGGUGAAAUGCGUAGAUAUCGGAAGGAACACCAGUGGCGAAAGCGGCUUCCUGGUCCAGCACCGACGUCAGGCACGAAAGUGUGGGGAGCAAACAGG